CAGCUGUCAGUGUUGUUGCCGAUAGAAAGAGAAGGCGAAGGCGUUCAACUCUCUCGACAAAUACUUCCGAGAAAAGCGGCAAUUAUUACUCCCAAGCCUUGACAACAUGCAGAAUGUGAUCAAUACUGUCAAGGGGAAAGCCUUAGGGGUCGCCGAGUAUCUUACGCCAAUUCUCAAGGAGUCCAAGUUCAAAGAGACAGGAGUCCUUACCCCAGAAGAAUUUGUGGCUGCAGGAGAUCACUUGGUUCAUCACUGUCCCACAUGGCGAUGGGCUCCAGGCGAUUCUGCCAAGACCAAACCAUACCUUCCUCCAGAGAAGCAGUUCCUCAUCACCAAGAAUGUCCCUUGUUACAGGAGGUGCAAACAAAUGGAGUAUCGCAGUGAACAGGAGCUGGUCCUGGAAUCGGAGGGUGAUCCCGAUGGUGGCUGGGUGGACACACACCAUUUCAGUGACUCAGCCAUCUUGGAGGAAAAAGUGGCUGACAUGGCACUCGAAGAUAAGAAGGUAUCUUGCGCGGAAGAUGAUGAUGAUGAUGAAGACGAAGAUGAGGAUGAGGAAGCUGCAGAUAUGGAGGCUUUUGAAGAGUCAGGCCUGCUGGAGCAAGAGGAUCCUAGUUCAAUCCAGACACCCAGGACCAUUCCUGCAGUGUCUAGCUUGGGGAACAGCACCAGCGACGGGGGUGAGGUGCUCCAAACCCGCACAUAUGACUUGCACAUCACCUAUGACAAGUACUACCAGACACCUCGCCUGUGGUUGACAGGUUAUGAUGAGAAUCGACAACCUUUAACAGUUGAAGAAAUGUACGAGGAUUUUAGCCAGGAUCAUGCCAACAAGACAGUCACCAUGGAAACACAUCCUCAUCUCCCAGGUCCUCCCAUGGCAUCUGUCCAUCCCUGCAGACAUGCUGAGACCAUGAAGAAGAUAUGUGAAACAGUGCUUGAAGGAGGAGGCGAGUUGGGGGUCCACCUGUACCUCAUAGUGUUCCUGAAGUUUGUACAGGCCAUCAUUCCCACCAUUGAGUACGACUACACGCACAAUUUCACACUGGCUCCUUAGGAUAACUGAACAAGGGGAAAGUGCUGGUGUUUCUGCAAGUAGUCGUCUUCUGCUGACCUGAGAAAGUUGAAUUAGCAAGCAAACUAUAAUGAGCUUGCAGUCCUGAUGUUGGUGCUUGCAUGGAUGCCAAGUGGUCACCCAAGACCUUCUUACCUCACCUUAAUGCCUGCAUGCAAUCAAGGCUUCCAGUCACUCCAGGUGUAUCGUAGUCAUUUCCCCAAUGUUAUUUUAUUUUUGUAAAUUUUUGAUAUUUGUUAUUAACCAUUCUGAUGGUCUGACGGAAAAUAGGGAUAUAACACAUUGUAGCAGGAACAAGGAAGGAAAAAAGAAAAAUGCUCUAUAUAUAUAUAUACAUAUAGACAUAUAUAUAUAUAUAUAUAUAUAUAUA